UUUACUGACUCAAUUACAAAUGAUAUGGUUCACGAUAGCUUUAUUGAAAAUACCACUCACCGAAUUUUUAAAUCUAACCUUGCAAAUACGGUCAUGCUAAAUAUGAUAUAAUAUAUCUUAUAAACAUUAAAGUAUGUAACGGACAAAAGAACACACAUUUAAGAUUAAGAAAAUUUGAGCAUAUCUUACCAGAACUGUAAAAUCCACCAAAAAAUCUAUAUUAUUUACUAUUGUUGCAAAGUAAUUGAAAAGUAUUCGCAAAUUUCACUUACUCAGCAAUAUAAUCCCGAUAACUCAUAUACAAUCCGUAAAAGUAAUAUUUUCAGAGCUUUUUAAGCUGUCUUUUUUCUGGAUCGGCGACUGGUUGAGCUAGAAGAGGACGCUUCAGCCUUUGCCUUAGUCCUUUUUUUAGGUUUCUUUGGUACCGAAAUAAAUUUGUCUUUGCUUAAAUCUAUGUCCUCUUCAUUAGCAGCCUCUGAGUCACUAGCUUCUUCUAACAUCUCAUCUUCGGCUUCAAUUGCAUCUUCGACAUCCGGCACUUCGCGCUGAGCAGAGCCCUUCAUAGGUAAAACAUCACUACUUCCAAAGAAGGCGAUGGGGUGACUCGAAGAAUUGUAUUUUCUUGUGAAUGCAGAUUUUGCAGCAGUCGGUAUGGUUUUCAUGAGUUUCUCACCUGCAUCUGCAGGAAGAACUAAUUCCGUUAUUGAAUCAAAAUCUUCACGAUUUAGAUAAUAUUCAUCCAUCAAUUCAAUGAUUUCUGGAACGACGUCUGAAUGGCCUGUUGAUAGCUUUACAGGCAGAGACUCAUACAAUAUUGGAAUAUAAUGCUGCCGCAAGUCCAAUUUAUUAGCGGAUACUUUUAAACGCAUGUGUACUUGUAUCUCACGAAGCAUACGAUAUAAUUUAUUUGUCUUCGAGUUAUUACCCAACCAAUUAGUAAAGCGAAUCUGCCUGGAACCGGAACCAGCCACGAAAGAAGCAGGUCGCACGCAAGACAUAAGAGCAUGGGUUGGCAUAAGUGACCAGUGUUGUUGAGGACCAUGAAUCAUUGAAUCAACAAGAUCAGAGUCGGAAAAGGAGUUAGCAGCACUAGAUAUUAAUUCUAAAUGCUUCAAAUGUGACAUUUUCGGUGGUUCUUGACGAAUUCUAUCUGGUGUAGUAUUAAGGUAGUUUUCUUGAACCAUAAGAUAAGAAAAUUCGUGAUCAUUAAAAUACAGCUCUAAUUUAUCAUUAAUGGUGGACUUGCUUGAUGGAUGAAACAUUCCUCCAUGUAAGUAACGACUACAGAUAUCCCAUGGUUUCAUAACGAUAUGCUUUUCAGAAUUUUUAAUAACAGCUUGGCUAUUUUGAGGUGUCAUUUCUGAACAGCUUAACUUGUAAGUGGAUAGCAAAUUAAUAAUUUGGCGCAUAUCGGACUGCGUCCCCUGAACCAGUUGAUCGACUGCUUGUGGUGACAAUUUGAGACCUUCACGAUACGCUAUAGACAUUAUUCGGGAUCGCAUUGAAUUAGCAUCUGGCCGACGGAAACGGAGGUCAAACGUAGUACGGUCAAGGGGCCGCAGCUUUGGAUGAGCACGGUCAUUGCAAAUACAAAUAAUUGGUAUCAUGCUUUUUUUAAUAAUCAUAUUCAACUGACCAACGCCUCCACGAUCACCCGAUGACAUGCCAUCGAUUUCGUCCAUAAUGAGUACAAGUCGGGACUUUGCCAUGUCAACGGGGUUAGCUUUUGUGCCAAAGUAGCCGGCAAGUGAUUGACUAUCUGUCACACCGAACAGCUGCUCAUCUAGCAAGCGCUUGCUUCUAGUGUCACUAGCGUUCAGUUCCAAAACAUCGUAACCUUCUAAUUUUGCUACCAAAUGAGCAGCAGUCGUCUUGCCAAUACCUGGAGGACCAGAGAGUAAUACGGCUUUGUAUAGACCCAGACCAUCAGGUCCAGGUUUAUUAAAGUUGGACUUCCUGUUUUUGUGGUAAUCCUGUAGCCACUUUUGAAGUUUUUGAACGACACCCUUAUUACCACAAAUAUCCUUUAAAGAAGUUGGCGCAUAUUUUGAAGUCCAUAUCUGUGAAGGUUGUGAUUCCUUUUUAUUACUAUCGUCCAUUCUCGCAACAGUUUCAAGGAUUUUCUUUUCUUCUUGUUCCUUUUUCUGUUGAGCAGCCUGAGCCGCAGCACCCGUUCCUCCUGAAGCAGGAAGAUGAGUUAUAAGAUAGAAGAGUCCAUCCUCGUUAAUAGCAGGAAUCUUGUGUUGUUUAAUUGUUUCCACUUUUCUUGGACCAGCAUUCUCACCUAAGAGAAUAAAGUCUGUUCUAACAGAAGGUGCACCUGUCACUUUUCCACCAUAUUGUUUGAUCAGGUCUGUAGCCUCUUGUCUAGUUAAAGUCUCUAGAAUUCCUGUAAUAACAAAGCUAAUUCCCGAGAGACAAUCGCUAUUGCCUUCAGGGACGGGUUUUGAGCCUGGAGUUUGUGUUGUAGCCGCCCGUUCAUAGAAAGUACCUGGAGCCAUCACACCCAUAGAGUCUACGUCAAUUAAAGGAACAUUUUUGAGGGCUUGGGAAACUUCGUCUGAGAACCUAGGUAAGCCUUUCGACUUGCUAGAACGACUUGUGUGAGUUGUCGCAGUUGUGGUAUGAGAUUUUGACUUUGAAGUUGUCGAUUUUUCUGCUUUAGGUUGAGCAGGUUUACGUGUAGCUCUAGUUUGAUGGACAACUGGCUUACUGUCUGAAGUGGUAUCCAAGUCAUUGGCAAAAUUUUCUGUUUUUACAGGAUGUACGACAUCUUUGGAAGUAGUAGUUUCUUUAUUGGAGAUAAUCCGCGGUUUAGAACGUGACCGAGUAGACUGUUGUUCAAAGUACUCAUCAGGUGUAGUUGAAACUCCAUCUGAACCGACACUAAACAAAAAUUCAAAUUAGCGAACAACGCAUAAUGAGGUAAAAGUAAAAUAAACAUACAGUUUAUCGUCUUCAUGAACAAUGGAUGGCAAAGAAUGGGAAAUAUCUUCCGACUCAUUACUAGUUGGAGGGUUAGAAAUAUAAACUGAUAACCCGAAUUAAACGAACCGUUUUUGCACUUUGCUUUUGGAUGCAGGAACUUUUGAAUUCUCUAUUGUACCAUCUUCAUCAUCUGAUAAAACGAUUCUUUUUUUCUUCAAACUCCUUUUUGGUUUUGGGGAAGUAGGCUAGACAAAGACGUUAGAAAAUGAAUGACUAGCUUAUCAAAUUUGACUGAUUGAAGAAACAAACAUACAGUCGGUGAGACUUUUGGCUUUUUUUGAGCGUUCCCUCCUCCAAAGAAGCUUCGAAUGUCAGAAUUACUCAUUUCCGACGAUGAAUAACAAUUACCCAAUUCCUGAGAAGCUACUGUCUAACUUCCAAAAAAGCAGUGUAUGUAUGUAUAUUGGGCGACAAUAGCAAGGAAUGUGACAAUUUG